GCACCACUGCGGGAAGGGUGGAUGGGGCGCUGGUCACAGGGCCCUUCUCCCCCAGCGUAGGCCCCCAGGACCCUCUCAGAGACCUUCCACCUAGGGCUGCCUCAGAGGGGCCCAGGCCUCACCUGCCGCAGUGAGAGGCGGCCCCUUGGCCCUGGGUGCUGUCCUGGGGCCAGGUGGGCUGUCCUGCAGUCUCCACCAAGUCUGAUUUUUCAGGUUCCUGGCACUCCUCUGCCCCCAUGAACAUGUACAGUGGGCCCACUUGCCACGAGGGGGUGCCAAGACUCUGGGGGCCCCAGGCAGCAGAAGGUGGUGGGGAGAGAGCCUGGGUGUCAGGAGAGCACUGUGGGGAGCUGAAGAAGGGCCCGAAACACAAGGCUGGAUACCCACUGUGGAGGGGCAUGGAGUGGGGCUAGGGGCCGCCUGUGCGCACCCCCUUGCUGCCCUGUGACGCUGCACACCCAGCCCGUCCCACUCCAAGGCAUCUGUGUGCAAACGGGAGCCACUGCCAUCCACCCCCACACCCACCAGUGUUGCCCAGACUGCUCCACGGCCAGCCAGCGGGGGACUCCUGGGUCCUGGCGAAGCUGACCACCCUCUCCAUUCACCAAGGCGGCUGUUCAGGAGCACAGCCCUGCUCUGCCCUCCUUGUUAACGGCCCCACCUGUGUCCAGGUAUCCCCUUGCCAAUUUCUCCCUCGUGGCUCUGACCAGAACGGCAUUUCUCUAUGCAGACCCUGGGAAGGCCAGGAGACCAGAGCAGGUCAAGGCCUGUCCUCAAGGAGUUCCACGCUCUUCGUGGUGUGAGCAGCCUGGCAGGCGGAGGACCACACUGCCCUGCAUACGUGCUAGUUCCCUUGGGGUGGCAGCAUCCGUGGUCUCGGCCCAGGUCCCGCUCUGCACGCCAGGGUGCGGCAGGGUCAUUCCGGGCAGCCGCCUCCAGAAGGGCAACGCUGGGGGGGAAGAGGACCCGCUUCUGUGGCCGGCCGUCGGCCACCUCCUUCUGUGACUGCGUCCGCAGGCCCCUCCUGCCAUGGGCCUCCUUCUCGGCCUGGGCCCACAUCUUCACCUGCUGGGCACGUCGCUUCUGGGCGUGCUUCAGCCGCUCCUGUGUGCUCAUCCUGCCCACCGUGGGCAUCUCUGCCAGCAGCUCCAGGUGCUCGGCCAUGGCGGGGGCUGCCUGCCAGGGGGGCUGCUGGGGGCACCGGACGGGGAAGCGCGGGGGCCAGGCUGGGCCUGCGAGGCGGGGCAGCUGGCUGGACUGGCGCCCUGGGGGGCAUCCCCUCUCUAAGGCUCAGUGUCCUCUGCCCCUGGCAAGGCUGGGUCAGGAGGCCCCCCGCUGUGACCAGACCCGGGCAGCCAUGAGGGGCCCGGGCCCCAGGCAGAAAGGGCAGCAAGGGAGGGCGCCUGCAGCCGGCCUCCCAGGGCCCUGGCACCUCGGCUGCUCGAUGGACAAGGCCUCCCUCCCUCGUCCUGGACCCGGCCAGCCUCAGUUCAGGGUCUGAAGCUAAUGACCCAGAUAACGGAGUUGCAGCUCCCUGGCGCCUUGCCGAGGGGAAGAGGAGGCCAGGGCAAGGGGCAGAGGCCCUGGGAGCCCUAAAAGCCCCUCUCACCUAACAGGCCUUAGGGGACCAGGUGGGGUCUAGGAGCAGCCAUGGCGGGGGCCUUCCCUCCCCACACCCCCAGCCUUCUGGGGUCGGUGCUAACGAGGAGGUGUGGCCACAGGGGGCCUGGGUGGGCGUGUGUCCAGAGUCCCAGGGUCCGGCCCCCAGCGCCUGGGGCCGAGGCUCUCUAAGCGGCCAGGGCACCGAGGGUACAGCGGGCCUGGCAACUGUGUCUUCAGGAAGGCGUCCCCUUCGCAGGAGCCGGCGGCCCAGCUGUGCACGGCAGGCGCUCCCGCUGGCCUGAGAGGAGGAAGCAGGAAGCACGUCAAGGCCAGACAGCGGCGACGGCUCCACCCGGAGCCCCGCCCUGUGUGAGGGCGAGCCCUGCCCGGGAGAUCCUGGCGGAGGGGAGGGGGCUGGCAGUGCCCGCAGUCUGGCCCACACACUCGCCGUUUCCAGCAAGGGCCUGCAGGCUGUGCGGCUGAGAGAGGGGCGCAGGGCCGGCACUGCCAGCUCGCUGCGGCCUUCCUAAGAGGCGGCCCCUCGAGGCCUCCGGCUCAGCCCUUGCCCCGCAGCGCCCCUGACCUGUGCGCCCUGGGCCGGGCCGGCUGGCCAAGGUCACCUUCUCCUUGGGCUCUCCCGGACUCCCCGAGCGCUGUGCGGCCUAGGCCUUCCCGAGAGCAGGCCCUGCCGCCUGGACACCGGGCCGCCCUGCUGCUCGGCCACAGCUGCGGAGGGCGGAGGGCCUGGCCCGGCCUGCCCCGCACCCCAACUCCUCAACACCCGAGUCUGGGCCUCUUCCUCGCUGGGCUUUCUGUUUCUAGCUCAGGCCACUCGGUGCUUUGCUUCCCUCUGCCAUCCUGGGCGGCAGUCCAAGCCCUGGUUGUGUGAACGCAGGCGCAGGUGGCCUGCCUGACAGACAGGUGGGCCGGCAGCUGGGCUGGGGCACAGCCCCACAGUCCCCACCAUGGCCCGUCCUGCGCAGCACGCCCGGUGUGCUCACUAGGCAUGGUCCCAGGACACUCCUCGGGAGGCCAUGGCCAUGCUCCACCUAGAAGGUACCCACCGGCAGCUCAGCCUGCCCACCGGGAGUCCCCGUUCCCACUCGGCCAGACCUUGUGGCCAUCUAGAGACUGACCCAGGCUUCUUCUGGCCAGACUUGUACUCAGGGGUCUCAGUGAGUGCCCCCUUCUUUCUGGAGGGGGACUGUCCUGGGCCAGAUCGUGAGGUCAGGUCCCUCCUGCCCCGGGACCCCCAGUGUGUUGGGAGCCUCGCAUUACAGCUCUGCCUCGCCCUGGACUUUGCUGGUACUCCAGCUAUCCGCUCUGCGAGCCAGGCCUCAGAGGCUACCAGGGGACAGGAAAGAGCCCUCCAGGCAGACAGCCCCCAGCUGGCCACCUCUGCAGAUGAGCUGCCUAGCCCCCCUGCCUGGAUCCCCCAAGUCCCACCUCUGCCCUGACCGAGACAGGCAGGAGGCCUGCAGGCACCGUGGCAACUCCCCACCCAUUAGGCUGGGGGUGGAUCCCAGACCAAACCCAAGGCGUGGCAGGGCUUUCACUGGCUCUGUAAGACUCUCCCUCCCUGCUGGCCACUCACAGGCAGCCUCAGGUUCCCCUGGAGGGAGCUGGGACCCCCUGCAGCCCACACAUGGGAUCUUCACCUGUCUGGGGUAGGUCUCUGAAGAGCCUGCCCCAAGAGACGCGGGAAGGAGGAGCAACGCACUCUGCCCAGGGCCACCCCCGACCCCGUCACAGAGGAUGCUGCCCCCACCUGUCCACGAGGGAGGAGGUCCCCUGCAGGCCAAGGCUCCACGGCAGAGUGGGCUCACAGGGCCUCAGCGACCAUCUUCUCCAAGUGGGCGCCAACAUCAGAGCCACAGCCCAAUUUUGUUAAGUUUGACAAGAUUUAGGAGAUGUCAUCUACCCCAUCAUUUUAUGGAAGAAAAGAGAUUCUGACGCCCACGUCCUACAGAAAUUCCCCUAGAGGGGACUUCCCUGAUGGCCCAGUGGUUAGGACUGCAUGGUUCCACUGCACGGGUUCGAUUCCCUCAUCGGGGAGCUAAGACCCCUGCAUGCGGGGGAGCAGGGUAGGGGACAGAAAACAACCUAAAAUAGAGUAACCACCAGCUUUUCAAAUUGAA